GCCGGCACGAGGAAGGUCGCUCUCCCUGACGGGAGGGAGGAAAGUCCGAGCACCGCCAGACCACGGUGGUGGGUAACACCCACCUGCGCCGCCGCUUGCGACGGCGUACGGGACAGUGCCACAGAAAAGAUACCGCCUCCUUCACGCUCGAUCGCCCGUCGAAGGCUUGCCUUGGGCGAGCGGAGCGCGUCGAAGGGGGUAAGGGUGAAAAGGUGCGGUAAGAGCGCACCGCGGGCGGGGCGACCCGUCCGGCAGGGCAAACCCCACCGGGUGCAAGGCCAAGCAGCGAUCGGCCAGGUCUGGGCCCAUGAUCGCGGGUAGGCCGCUUCGCCCCACGGGGGCGAGAGCCGUCCGGCAACGGGCGGUCCAGAGAAAUGACCUUCGCCGCCGCGCCCCGCCCAAGGCGUCGCGGCACAGAACUCGGCUUACAUCGUGCCGGCCAGG
rnacentral:RNase_P_RNA from 1 species